rnacentral:rRNA from 1 species
CGCGCAGGUGGUUGAUUAAGUCUGAUGUGAAAGCCCACGGCUUAACCGUGGAGGGUCAUUGGAAACUGGUCGACUUGAGUGCAGAAGAGGGAAGUGGAAUUCCAUGUGUAGCGGUGAAAUGCGUAGAGAUAUGGAGGAACACCAGUGGCGAAGGCGGCUUCCUGGUCUGUAACUGACACUGAGGCGCGAAAGCGUGGGGAGCAGACA